CGACGCGCUGGAAGAGCUGGCGGAACGCGGCGCGGAUCAGGGGCGGACACGCCGGGGCCGACCUGACGAUGGCGUCCAGGAGCUCGCCCAGCGCAGGCGGACAAAGGGGUCGGAGGCACCAUUCCGGUCCUUCCUGGCCAAAUCCCUGCCGAGAAGAGGGGGAAUUUACCAGCAACCUCCCAAAAUACCUACAGGCACCCAUGGCACCCACUCUGCUCUCAGAGAAUUUCAAGAUACAUGUCCCAAAGACCUGCAGAUGAGUGUGCCUGCAGCAGAUGGAGACACCUGCCAGGAGCAAGGUUUGGGGCUCCAGCAGUUUUAGGGACCAGCCAGGGACCUGGGGCACCCACCUGAUGAUGG